rnacentral:rRNA from 1 species
UGAGUAACGCGUGAGAAACCUGUCUUUCACAAAGGGAUAGCCUCGGGAAACCGGGAUUAAUACCUUAUGAUACUAAAGUAAUGCAUAUUACCUUAGUUAAAGUGUAAAACGGUGAUAGAGGGUCUCGCGUCCCAUUAGCUAGUUGGUAAGAUAAAGGCUUACCAAGGCAAUGAUGGGUAACCGGCCUGAGAGGGUGAACGGUCACACUGGAACUGAGACACGGUCCAGACUUCUACGGGAGGCAGCAGUGGGGAAUAUUGCACAAUGGAGGAAACUCUGAUGCAGCGACGUCGCGUGAACGAUGAAGGCUUUCGAGUCGUAAAGUUCUGUCUUUAGGGACGAUAAUGACGGUACCUAAAGAGGAAGCCCCGGCUAACUACGUGCCAGCAGCCGCGGUAAUACGUAGGGGGCGAGCGUUGUCCGGAUUUAUUGGGCGUAAAGGGUUCGCAGGCGGCCUUUUAAGUCAGAUGUGAA